GACUGCAGGCUGCAACUCGCCUGCACGAAGUCGGAAUUGCUAGUAAUCGUAGGUCAGCAUACUACGGUGAAUACGUUCCCGGGCCUUGUACACACCGCCCGUCAAACCAUGAGAGUUGGCAACACCCGAAGUCGGUAGUCUAACCGCAAGGAGGACGCCGCCGAAGGUGGGGUUGAUGAUUAGGGUUAAGUCGUAACAAGGUAGC
rnacentral:rRNA from 1 species